rnacentral:rRNA from 1 species
ACUCCUACGGGAGGCAGCAGUGGGAAUAUUGGACAAUGGGGGAAACCCUGAUCCAGCAAUGCCGCGUGUGUGAAGAAGGCCUGUGGGUUGUAAAGCACUUUUAGCAGGGAAGAAGGCCUUAGUACUAAUACUACUGAGGAUUGACGUUACCUGCAGAAAAAGCACCGGCUAACUCUGUGCCAGCAGCCGCGGUAAUACAGAGGGUGCUAGCGUUAAUCGGAAUUACUGGGCGUAAAGCGUGCGUAGGCGGUCAAAUCAGUCAAAUGUGAAAGCCCCGGGCUUAACCUGGGAACUGCAUUUGAUACUAUUUGACUAGAGUAUGGUAGAGGGAAGUGGAAUUUCCGGUGUAGCGGUGAAAUGCGUAGAUAUCGGAAGGAACACCAGUGGCGAAGGCGACUUUCUGGACCAAUACUGACGCUGAGGUACGAAAGCGUGGGGAGCAAACAGGAUUAUAUACCCUGGUAGGCUCU